GUAAAACCAGGCCAUCCACCCGUGAUGUUUUAGGAUGAAUCCAGGGUAAAACCAGGACAUCCACCCGUGAUGUUUUAGGAUGAAUCCAGGGUAAACCAGGCCAUCCACCCGUGUUGUUUUAGGAUGAAUCCAGGGUAAAACCAGGCCAUCCACCCGUGAUGUUUUAGGAUGAAUCCAGGGUAAAACCAGGCCAUCCACCCGUGAUGUUUUAGGAUGAAUCCAGGGUAAACCAGGCCAUCCACCCGUGUUGUUUUAGGAUGAAUCCAGGGUAAAACCAGGCCAUCCACCCGUGUUGUUUUAGGAUGAAUCCAGGGUAAAACCAGGCCAUCCACCCGUGAUGUUUUAGGAUGAAAAGGUCAGGUGAAGAAGACGUGAUGGGAACUAACAGAAAUGUAAUGAAGAAGGUUUCAGUUUCUUAGAUUAGAUUAGAUACAACAAACUUUACAGCCAAUGUGUAAACUUGUCUACGGCUUCACUCAAAAGGAGCACCUCAUCCUCGAGAUCAUCAAAUAAACCGUACGAAGUACAAAAGAAGACAAAUAAGUUACAGUGUGAUCUCUUCCAGAUGUCCUGUAAUAGCAGUGUUAUUCUAACACCUUUCAGAGUCAAUUCAGUAGGGAUUCAGUAGGGAUUCAGUAGGGAUUCAGUAGGGAUUCAGUAGGGAUUCCGUAGGGAUUCAGUAGGGAUUCAGUAGGGAUCUUCUGUAGGGAUCUUCUGUAGGGAUCUUCUGUAGGGAUUCAGUUGGGAUCUUCUGUAGAGAUUCAGUAGGGAUUCAGUAGGGAUCUUCUGUAGGGAUUCAGUAGGGAUCUUCUGUAGGGAUUCAGUAGGGAUCUUCUGUAUGGAUCUUCUGUGGGGAUUCAGUAGGGAUUCAGUAGGGAUUUUCUGUAUGGAUUCAGUGGGGAUUCAGUAGGGUCUUCUGUAGGGAUUCAGUAGGGAUCUUCUGUAGGGAUUCAGUACGGAUCUUCUGUAGGGAUUCAGUAGGGAUCUUCUGUAGGGAUUCAGUAGGGAUCUUCAGUAGGGAUCUUCUGUAGGGAUUCAGUAAGGAUCUUCUGUAGGGAUUCAGUAGGGAUCUUCAGUAGGGAUCUUCUGUAGGGAUUCGGUAGGGAUCUUCUGCUGGACAAUAGGUCCAGAUAAACCCAUCUGUCAUCAGUACCGUUUUAUUGAAAUAGGAGUGCAGACAUUCUGUACAAUAACUCUUUAUUGAAACAUGAACUCAGUCUGUUCGCAGUAUAGAAGUGUCUCUGAGUCGUUCAGUAGGGAGCUGCUAUCCGCUGGCCAUAGGAGUCCACAUAACACUGGCAUAGGAAAAAGACACAUGUCCACUUUUAUCUUGAACGUAACAAAGUAAAAAGAGUUUGUCACUUAGUCUUAUGUCAGUGUGGUAAAAUGUGUCAUCAUGUCUCAGGAUUAAUCCCAAAAGGCCUCCCCAGCCUCAACCUUCCUCUAGAGACAUUAACUAAACAACAACAUUACAUCCCUGUGUGUUAAGUGAGCAACAAACUGACAAGUUGUAAAAAAACAAACUAUAAUAAAAACACUGCCACUUAAAACGUCCGCUCUGCAAAACAAAAAACAGAGCCUCUACGGUCUACUUUAGAGGCUAAUGCCUGUCCUAGCUCACCAAGGAAUAUACAAGUCAAACAGCGAGAGAGGAGAAGAAAAAAAGAGGAGGAGAGGAGUAGAGCAUCAUUCUAUCUGUGACAGCGAGGUAUUGAUUAGCAAAUUCAUCCCAAAUGGCACCCUAUUCCCUAUGUAGUGCACUACUUUAGACCAUAGAGCCCAAAUGCUCUAGUGCACUACACAGGGAAGAGGGUGCCAUUUUGGGAUGAAUUUGCUUUUAAUAUGGGCCCCUUUGUGUUCGUCAGCCCAGCUGAUACAGAAGAAAACCCUGUCCUCUGGAUAAGAACACUGGUGCAUUCAAAAAGUUCUCCAAUAGUCUCUCCUCAAUACCAAUGGAAUGGAGUUUUAAGUUGAUCGUUGGCAGUUACAGGUGUUGUUCAGAGGGGUUUGGGCCUGGACAUAACAGGGGCUGAAUGGACAACCCUGACUUGUUCCAGUAAGGGAACAUAGAAUCAAAUACUUCACUGGUUGAAAGACAAUGACGUUACAGGCAAGACAUUAAAUGUAAGACGGUAGAACAGACGACACCUGAAACCAGACAGGACAUUCACUGUAUAUAUUGUACAAAGGUAGUGUAAUAUAAGGUCUUCAACAUCAAACCUGAUAAGGGUAUGUAGUGUAAUACAAGGUACCUUCAUUGCUCUCCCCCAUCCUCUUCCCUCCUUCAGCCCACCACCCCAGACCCGCUAAUGAGG
rnacentral:lncRNA from 1 species